GACGAACGCUGGCGGCGUGCCUAAUACAUGCAAGUAGAACGCACAGUUUAUACCGUAGCUUGCUACACCAUAGACUGUGAGUUGCGAACGGGUGAGUAACGCGUAGGUAACCUGCCUGGUAGCGGGGGAUAACUAUUGGAAACGAUAGCUAAUACCGCAUAAUAUUAAUUAUUGCAUGAUAAUUAAUGGAAAGGUGCAAUUGAACCACUACCAGAUGGACCUGCGUUGUAGUAGCUAGUAGGUGAGGUAACGGCUCACCUAGGCGACGAUACAUAGCCGACCUGAGAGGGUGAUCGGCCACACUGGGACUGAGACACGGCCCAGACUCCUACGGGAGGCAGCAGUAGGGAAUCUUCGGCAAUGGACGAAAGUCUGACCGAGCAACGCCGCGUGAGUGAAGAAGGUUUUCGGAUCGGAAAGCUCUGUUGUAAGAGAAGAACGGGUGUGAGAGUGGAAAGUUCACACUGUGACGGUAUCUUACCAGAAAGGGACGGCUAACUACGUG
rnacentral:rRNA from 1 species